rnacentral:rRNA from 1 species
AUACGUAGGGUGCAAGCGUUAAUCGGAAUUACUGGGCGUAAAGCGUGCGCAGGCGGUUUUGUAAGACAGUGGUGAAAUCCCCGGGCUCAACCUGGGAACUGCCAUUGUGACUGCAAGGCUGGAGUGCGGCAGAGGGGGGUGGAAUUCCGCGGGUAGCAGUGAAAUGCGUAGAUAUGCGGAGGAACACCGAUGGCGAAGGCAAUCCCCUGGGCCUGCACUGACGCUCAUGCACGAAAGCGUGGGGAGCAAACAGGAUUAGAUACCCUGGUAGUCCACGCCCUAAACGAUGUCAACUGGUUGUUGGGGAUUUAUUUUCUCAGUAACGAAGCUAACGCGUGAAGUUGACCGCCUGGGGAGUACGGCCGCAAGGUUAAAACUCAAAUGAAUUGGCGGGG